GUCUAUAGCCAUACCACCCUGAAUGAGCCCAAUCUCGUCUGAUCUCAGAAGCUAAGCAGAAUUGAGCCUGGUUAGUACUUGGAUGGGAGAAAUGCAGAGUUUAAUGAAAAGAUGUAAUAGUUA
rnacentral:rRNA from 1 species